UCCUUGCCAGUAGGGAAAGUUUCUCGUUUGUACUUGUCUUGGCACAAGUAGGUGCUUAAUAAAUACCGGUUGAAUGAUUGGUGGGCUUGGGAGGGAGCAAAGGCAAAGAAUAAGAGGCUCAGCACUGGACACAAAUAAGACCGGAGUUGGGGGACAAACACAGCUAGGGAGGUGAUAACAAGGGAUGGAGCCAGAGGGUCUGGUUAUGGGUGCGGUGGUGCUGUGGGUCAGGGAUGACUGCGUGGGAAGAGAUAAGGGAGUCAGGUAAGUGGAAAAUGAUAAGGUGACACCAGCCAUCUGGUGCUGAUAAACAAGCUAGGGAGGGAGGAAAAGAGAAGAGGCGGCGAUAGUCUGGAUGAGAGGCAGGGCGGACAGGCAGGCACGGAGGCGGGCCCGGACGCAGGCACCGAGAUCUCUUGAGGCUUGCGACUUAGAUCCACAUUUGUAAGAUGUGAUUAACUACAUCAAAUAUGGAACUAUUGGCCAAGGCAAACCUAGUGAAUGCCAGGAUUCCCAACAGAAAACAACAGAGUGAUUGCAAAUGACUGAGUAAGGAAGAAAAGAGGAGAAAAGGAAAAUAUUUCAGACUGUGCCUUGGAUUUCAAAUGCACUGUUGAUGUUGAAUCAAAUGCCCUUCAAUAAUGCCCCCUUAGUGCUUGAACUGAGUUCCCAUGGCAUAGAGCAUGUCACCUCAAAGCAUUUUCACAGAGACAAUUUUUCUUUCCCUUUACAGCAUUAUUAUGGUCUUGGGCAAGGGUUGGAUUGGCCCUAUUUUCCAAAUGGAGAAAUAGAGGCAUAGAGAAAUGAAUUGAUUUAUCCAAAGUAUGCAGGCAGAGACAGGACCAGGACUCAGAAUAGGAAAUUAUGGUAUGAUGUCAGAGGGGCGAAAAUCUCCUCUAAUCCCUCAUAUCUCUCACUCCUGCUUCAUGGAUGCUUGAAAUUCUGCCAAGAUAGUUCAUUACUUUAGCUUAGGAUUUAAGCCCUGUUAAAAUGCAACCUCCCUCCUACCUUCCCCAAGUAAGACUGUAUCAUCUGGUAUUUACACUUUAGUAUGAAAGUGAAGACAUAGUUGUGAUUUAGGGUGGGAGAAGGGGGUAAUGAGCACACAUUUCAACCAUCACCCAUUUCAUUUUGGCCAAGGGCCACAGUUGAUCCUGGCUACUGCAACAGUCCACUAUUCUUUCCCCUAGUCUAUGCUGCCUCCAUCAGUUCUCCAGUCCCUCAAAAAAGCUUUCUUUCUCUCUUUCUCAGUGAGGUUUUCUUCAGUAUGGAAGGGAAAAGAAAGAGAAUUCAUCUCCCUUUUCAAGCUUCAUUUUAUAGUGGCCUUGGAGGCCACUAUAAGGCAUUUGUAUAUCCUAGGUAAGAUCUAAAAAUAGUGCUCCCUUUAUAUCUGCUUUGAGGCUUUACUGUAACAGACACUUCUCAUAAAAUAUAUGUAAAUGUUUUUGAUGCAUUGA